AAGACAGAGCUCCAGAUUUCUUCCCAGUGUAAGCAGCCACAGUGGAGAUCUGCUGGACUUCAGGACCAGAGAGGAAUGGAGGAGGACAACCAGAACCAGGAGCAGCGGAGCAACGAGGUCCCCAGAAGACCAGCAGCAGACUGGGCCUCUGAUAGCAGCCGUGUUCAGGCGUCCUCAGCAGACAGUAG